UUAUUAGAUACACCUUUAUUAGCUACCAUCUAUAUUAUGUUGGACCCACUUUUGCCUUCAGAACUGCUUUAAUUCUUGUGGCACAGAUUCAAAAAGGUCUGCCUAAAUGCACUGAGUUGCUGCCAUGUGAUUGGCUGAUUAGAUAUUUGCAUUAAGAAGCAGCUGUAAAGGUGUACCUAAUAAAGUGGUUGGUAAAUGUAUAUAUGCAAAUUCUAAAGAUACCUUUCAGCUUGUUUUGUAAAAUUGUUACCCUACACUUAAAGCUUUCAGACUGAAUGCCAUUUUAAACACAAAUACUUUUUUUGAGUGUGUCGGCGAUGUCAGGAAUGUGUUCUUAUCCAAGUCUGACUUGCCACAGCUCCAAGUGGCAGAUAAGAGCUCACCAAACAACAAGGAGCAGCUAGCAGGCCAAUCUGUGCAGGGAUAAGACAACCCCUGAGGACUGUAGUCCUCAACUUUAGUGACAAGUUAAUCUAGAGUGGACUGCUCUUCAACUGGACUUAUUCGUAGAGUGUAUGUGUAUGCGUGUGCGUGUGCGUGUGUGUAAAUGUGUCUGCAUCAGGUGUUUGUGCAGCAAUCUGCAUUUCACUGCAAGCUUUGACAGUAAAAUCAUAGCUCUCUCAACACUUUACUGUUCCCACUUAUAAAUAUUGCACUGAACCUGUUUUUACUAUCCCCAAACGCCUUCAAUCUCAACUAAUGAAGUGAGCAGACAGGCCGGUAGUAUUAUCUGAGAGGUGAUAUUACAGGAUUUAUACUGAUCAGCAAUUUCACAUUAGGUAUUUGACUGAAAAGAGUAGCAGGGGAGACAACUAUCUCAUCUAAAUAUCUUAUUGUUUAUUCUGACAGAUGGAAAACUCGAUGCUUACUAACUCUGAUAUCUACCUUUCCCUUUGCCUAGAGCAAUGCGAGUAAUACAUUAAGUGAAUUGGUCUUUUUCUGCAUGUGUGCAUGCAGAAAAGUUUCUAUUCCUGUGUGCCUGUGCGAGCGUUAAGUCACGCACGUAUAAUGUUGUAUCCUUCGUGCGUAUGUGUGCCUACGCUGUGUGAAGUUGUGUCUAUGUUUAUGUCUGCUUGUGCUUAAUUAGGGGAAGCAGUGAGCAUUUCACUUCUGGAGGGGAUUUUAUGGCUAUGUAAAUAUCACACAUCAUGAUUCAGCGAGGUGAGGCAAGUGUAGCCCAGCGGCUGCCAAAUCUCACUUAGAUUGCUGUCUAGAUGGCAACAGUGGAGGGUGACACAGCCAACGCAGAAGUGAUGACUGAUUUGUUUCUCUGGGUCAGAACACACGGGGGUGGAUUUGUCUUAAGGUGCUUAAAAUGAAAGCGUAUGAUGCUGUCGUUUAAUCCCGACUGCCGAUUUCAUUUAAAGCAACACCAAAGAUAGUGUCACUAUUGCCAGUUUAAUGGCAUGUCAAAUAACUGUUCGCUAGCACCAAGGGAACUGAAACUCAGCUCAUGCAUUACUGUAAAAAGUAAUGACAACCUUGUGCUUAAAUUACUGCAAAGAUACAUUACUGCUGGUACAGAAAGCUUGGUGGAUGCUAGAACAGUUGGUUUAGUUUACAUUGUGCAGCUCAGCUCCAGUCCUACAAUAGGAACAAGGUGAUUCAUUUCACUGGAAGCUGAGAGAGAGUUACCCUAGUGGCUACACAUGAUGGAUUUAUCAGUGGGCAUUUGCUGAAUAUGUGAAAUUUUACGUGAUGUUACUUGUCUUUGUGUUUUAUAGAGUGACAGCUAUGACAGAGGAAGGUUUCCACUGGUAAUGGGUUUGAUAAAUCACAAAAAUUGGAAUUUGUUGCAUUACAGAAAAGGUAAAAGAUUAUUUCGUCAUUUAUUUAGCAACUAUAAAAGUGGCUGUUGUUUGCGGCAGUCGACAGUCUGUAGGCAUACCCCUAUAAAUCAAACUUUAGGACCUUUCAAGUGUGUUGUCGACGUUCAAAUGCUCUGAUCUGCAGGAUCUAAGCGCUUGCUUUGGCAUAUCUCACCUCAGAAAGCAAUGGAACACAACAUUAAAAUUCUGCACUGAUUAUUACAGUAUGUAUGCCAAACUAGAAGGCGCCAUUUGCCAAAUUAAAAAAAAAAACAUCCCAGAGUAUAACUUAAAUGUAUAAAAAAUUUAAGGAACUGCUAUAUAGUGUUUUAUUUCAGAGUGAGCACAGGAAAGACAAAAUGAUGAGACUUUUCUUAUCCCUUCAUGAGAAUUGGCAAUAUUUAAACAAACACUGCCUGCAUCGCUGUUCCUGUGUCCCCUCUGUUUUCAGUUGUUUUGAAUUAAAAGCGAUGCAUGUGCUUUGGACUCUGACUCAAAUUCAAGACUUCAUCUUUUUAAUGCAAUGGAACAAAAUGGUGUCAAAAGGUUUUUAUACUUGGAAACUCAGUCAGAACUCUUUUAUUUUGGUUUCAUCUGUUCAGGCAAAAAACACAGUGAAGCUGCUUUCGAGUACUUUGAAACUACAAACCUUGACAAAAACAUGUCAUUUCCAAGCCUCGCAAACCAAAACCUGCAGCUGUCAGGAUCUUCAAAUCAAAUAGUUCUGCUUUGAUGGCUGCUUUAGCAAAGUCGCUAAGUGCAGAACUACCUAAGAGUUCUUGGCCAUAAAGAUAUUCAAGAUCGCCAAUGAGUUCCAGAAGCCCAACAGAGAGGUGGGUCAUUCUUGUCCACCACACUUCAUCAUAAACAUUAAAUGUUAUUUGUCUUUAUUUCAUGCCCAGUGUCUCAUAUUUUCUUUCCAGCUGACCAUGCUGAAAAACAUCAGCGGGCGUGACCCUCUGAGUAUUGGUCGGUUCUUUGAGGACUUUCAACAAAAAGGCACACUUGUCUAGUAUUGCUAGACAUGAAAGGCUACACGCGGAUUUAGACAUAUUAGAAAAGAAGAUACCCCGCAAUCCACUCUCCCUUCAUGAGAUUAAACCCAUAACAUAGCAGGUAUCAUCAGUCUACCACAAAGCACUGUCUGCUAAUGUAGGGUGCAAAUGUGCAUGCUUGAACAUAUUUGAAUAACACAGUCUAGUUUUUCCUUUGUCCGUGCGACUGUUUUCUGCGCUCAACUCUCUGAAGAAUGCUGGCAUCAAAUAUUAAACCCAGCAAUAUCAUGCUGGUAAACCAGGAAGUCCAACCAUUCACAGUUAAACUAAAUUCUCAAUAAGCCAUAAAAGCUGCUGAUGUGGAACAAAGCUACAUCAUACAGCCUGUUGGAUGCCGGUUUGUUUCCAGAUUUGUGUUCUAACUUCGGCUACGUUUGGUUCCUUGUGGAUAAUUUGAUCUGAUGUCAAUAACUCUUAUCAAUAUGCAAACAUUUGCAGGAAAUCAUUCUAAUCACUACUUCUUGUCUUCCACUCUCAGAUCUCCUGAGGUUUUCAUGUGGACUCGAGGUCUGCAAUGCUGUCCUGAAAUGCACAAAUCAAAGGAUAUUUUCCUUUUCUCUCUGUGUUUUUGAUUUUUUUUAAAGUCUUCUCAAAUACAUUCUCUACUUUUUAGAUGUCUGAAGCGUACCGACUGGGACUGGAUUCCCACUUCAGAGAGGCAAAGCGACUGAGUUCAAAAGUCUGUAUGACCUGGUGGUGCUGUACCCAGAUGUGGAAACAUAUGAGGACAAGAUAAAGUUUGUCAGCCUGCUGGAGAUGCUGCUGCAUCUGAAUCCUCAAAGGAGAACUACACCAAGUGAUGCGCUGGCACACCCGUGUUUGAGCACCUGUAAAUUGUGUGAUGCCACCAGUUUUGAGUGAAUGAUUUUCUGUGUGUAUUGCCUUUUGGUUUACACUUCUGCAGUGAGAUUAAAGUUUCGUCAUCCAGUGACAUAAUCUCAGGUACCCUUAGUGUCCCCACCACUGGUGAAAUCGGCAGGAGAAGGCAAGACCAAAACAACUAAAGAAUCAGCCUCAGAUUGUGCCACAGUUUUGACUCACGCUGCUACAGAUGAUGCCACAGUUGGAUCUGAAAUGACUUGCAGAAACAACGCCGUCUCAGCUGCUCAAGAAGCCUCAGAGACCGCUGCCAGAUUAACGGAUGACUUUGCCUCUUCAGAGGAAGAUUUGGGUGAGGCUCUAAGAGCAGCAUGAAACGAGCCUGCACAUUUGAACCACGCCCAUGAUGUGUGGCACUGCUUCAGCUGUCAGGAACGGUCUUCAUGUUCUCAGCUUCAAAGGUUAACAAUGAGUCACAUGAAGUUGACAAAGGUGCAGUUGCCAACGGUUCCGCAGAUUGAGCCUCACCUGAAGCAAAUGAUGCUUCACCCACACUGGGCGAAGUUAUCUGUGACCCUGACAGAAAUGCUCGGACUGAAAGCAGUUAAAAAAUGUUUGGACAGGAUGUUUAGAUCUCCAUACUGCUGUGGCGAUAAGUCAACAUAAUCAUUCAAUGUUUUUCUCAUAUUCCCACAAAUUAAUACAAAUAUUAACUUACAGGCCUUGAGUUGUCUGACCUGGUAACUGAAAAAGUAGUCACAUAGCAACAGCCUCAGCAGAUGCAGUGACAGCAGUUGUAGCAGGAGGAGCACUUGUGUCAGCUUCACUAUAACACCAAUGCUGUAGUUUUAGUAGCUUUAAGUUUUGAAACUGAAAAAAAAAAAUCAUCAAUAAUCAUUUGCCUUUAAUAUAUUUCCUCAAAAAGUUUAAUUACUUUACAAAAUUAUUUAAAUUUAAAUCAACUGCUGCAAGCUAAUCUUUAUCAGAAAUGUAACUUAUGUAAAAAAAAUAUUAUUAUUUAUCUGCAGUUAAAAAAUAUAACAAAUACAAAUAUCUCAACCCCCAUGUAUACAUCUCUUUGGAACUAAAAAGAGACCAUUUUUGUGCCUAAUAUCACAAAAAAAAAUCUAUAAAACAAAUGGAAUUGUGUGUUGUGGUAAGGUCAUUAAUCCACUUCAGCACCUAGAAAUAAAUAUAUUAUGCAUGCCUGUUUGUGAUUAGUUACGGGUUGUUCAAAGUAAGUUGUUUAGGCUUGAAUUUGUACAGGAAUUCCUCUUCCAAACAGUAAGUCAUGGUAUAAAUGCACUCUGUUUUUUCAGACAAAAUUACAGUGGGAGUUGAGAUAAUGCCCCCUUGUUGGUGGCCUGUCCAGCACAUAUGCUCUGACAUCUCUGACUCUCUGACUGUGCUUGAUAUUAAAGAUGUAUAGCAUGGCGCACCCAAUUUCAGUAACAUAAAUGAUGUGAAAACUUUUUCCACCACUCUCCUUUGGUAACACACAAACACCAACCAUUUGCAGGUCUACUGACUGCAAAUAAAGUCUAAUUCCUCUGUACUGAAAAAAAGACUUCACACACUGAAUUUCGCGUACUUGUUCAGGAUCUAAUAGGGGAAUGCAUUCUUCCAGAAUGUUAAAUCUUCUUUGGUUACGUCUUUAAACACAGUGGCGUGGUUGUUAGCAUUGUUGUUUCACAGAUUCAAAUCUAAGAUUUGGUCAAGACAUGCAGAUAGUGGGGUUAGCUUAUUUGGUAAUUCUAAAUUGCCCAUAGGUGUGAAUGCGAGUGUAAAUGGUUGUCUGUGUGAGUUAACCCUGCAACAAACUAGCAUUUCUUGCCCUGUAGCAGCAGAGAUAAGGUCAGGCCUGACUAGUCCUGAAGAGGGUUUAUGGAGUGGUCACAUUCUUAACAAAAAGUCAAAUUACCAAGAAUAAACACUAAAAGACAUUACUGGGUAAGUAAAGCAGUGUAGGGGGCAGCAUGCAAUCAAAGCUAAAGUGGUCCGCUUGCUCUUAUUUGCUAUUUGUGCGCUUUUCCGGACCAAAAUAAACUGACCGCAAAUGGAUUCAGACCCAUCACAAGUGUCACUGAGAGCCAAACAUUUGCGUUUACAGCUGCAUUACAUGGCGCCAUUAUUAUGGGUAGAACAUUAUCCCAAAUCUCAGAGGGGCACUAACAUUUGAUUGCAGCAGACCAUUAAUGAGCACAAGGUCGCGCAGAGUCCAGGGUGAAAUAGGGUCCUGUCGUAAUUUUCACUUUAUAAGAAGUCCUCUGACACCUGCUAAUUGACCUACAUGAGAGUCAAAAAAAAAAAGGGAAACCUUGUUUUUCUGGGUGGCUAGGUGGUUAAUCAGCCUUGGCUGCAGAUGUGUUAUUUCUGAUAGCAUUGAAACUUUAGGAUCUUUUCUUUUUUUUUUCAAACCUCAAGGCGGUCCCUCGACCAGCUGGCCCCUACCCACUGGCAAACACAAUGCCUCCCCCUCCUUUUCCUUUUUCUCUCUCAGCUGCAAGCCGUGUGCUGCUACUGACCCUAAUCCCAAACCGCUGCUGUCACUUCUGCUUAGCCAGCGCUCCUGAUUACACUACAGGGGUGUGCCAUAAAAACCCACUUUCCCCAGUUUCUUCAACCCAACACAAGGACCAGCUACUUCAGAUGAAACGCGAUAUCAGAGAUUUCAAUAACAUAGCUUUUUCUCUCUCUCUCUCUUUUGCUGCUGCUGUUGCCACUCCUUGUCCCUGCUCCCUUUCGUCCUGCUUUCGCUGGCAAUUGUAACAGCUUCUCUGCAGGAACAAAGGCAGCAUAUGAAUUUCAGGUGGUGUAGAAUUGCUUUCUCUGUGGUUUUUUUUUUCUUUUAACCCUUUGACAUUUCACACCUUUCUAUGCCUGCCUCUUAUAAGAAGCCAUUUUGAAACGUUAUAUAAAUUAAAAACUACACAGGCGUGAAGGAUACUGUUGCUCGCCCUCGCUACCCUUAAAUAUUUGAAGAGUAUGAGCAUAACAUCUGGAGAAUUCAAAAUUCUGUGAAAAACCUUCUAUUGAGCUGAGUUACCUUGAUCUUCACCUUGGCAUAUUUUGGUAUUACACUUUCCAUUUAUGGGAGAAAAAGCAGAAAAAUGCUAUCUUUGAAAGGGUACUCAGUUUAAAAAAGAAACC